rnacentral:piRNA from 1 species
UGAAGGAACACAAAGAUGCUAGAUUAGCCAU